UACAGAGGGGGCAAGCGUUGUUCGGAAUUACUGGGCGUAAAGGGCGCGUAGGCGGCCAACUAAGUCGGACGUGAAAUCCCUCGGCUUAACCGGGGAACUGCGUCCGAUACUGGAUGGCUGGAGGUUGGGAGAGGGAUGCGGAAUUCCAGGUGUAGCGGUGAAAUGCGUAGAUAUCUGGAGGAACACCGGUGGCGAAGGCGGCAUCCUGGACCAAUUCUGACGCUGAGGAGCGAAAGCCAGGGGAGCAAACGGG
rnacentral:rRNA from 1 species